UGGCGUUGCUUUCCAGCGUUCUCCAGCCUGGGAAGUCCUUGGUGGGUUAGGGUAUGCACAACCAAAGCUGCUCAACUCUCAGACAUCGCAGCGUGUCUUCUGGAUUAGCCAUUUAUAACCAUGAAAAAUAAGGGCAAGGAUGCCAGUGGAAUAAAGUGGAAAUGAGUGGAAAGGUCUCACUGCAACUCAAAAAGGAAUGUUCUCCUUGCUACCCAUCUCCAGCUGCCACCACAGCUGGACAAAAUUAGAGCAGGCGGUACAACUGUGUUUUUCCCCUUGUUUGGAAAGUCAGGAAAUGCAGGCUUAAGGCAAAUGGGCUCAUGUUUGCUUCUAACUGGAAGAGAAUUCCAUUCUGUGCUUGAAAAUUAUCCUAGUUAGGAAGAUGUUACUUGAAGUCUCCAGUUUGUCCUACGAAGAGGUGGCCACCUGAUAUAUGACCUUCCCAGUUUAAAGGCGGAAGAAUUGGAGAGAAGGGGCUCUUCAGCAAGGAGGGGAU